rnacentral:rRNA from 1 species
UACGUAGGGACCGAGCGUUGUCCGGAUUCAUUGGGCGUAAAGAGCUCGUAGGCGGCUGUUCAAGUCGAACGUGAAAACUCGGAGCUCAACUCCGAGCCUGCGUUCGAUACUGGACGGCUAGAGUCUGGUAGGGGGAUCUGGAAUUCCUGGUGUAGCGGUGGAAUGCGCAGAUAUCAGGAGGAACACCGGUGGCGAAGGCAGAUCUCUGGGCCGUAACUGACGCUGAGACGCGAAAGCGUGGGGAGCAAACAGG